GCAUUGGUGGUUCAGUGGUAGAAUUCUCACCUUCCAUGUGGGAGACCUGGGUUCAAUUCCCAGCCAAUGCA
rnacentral:tRNA from 1 species